GUCUUGCAGAUUACCAUGGCCGCUGACGCUGAUGUCAUGAUUAAGAGGUUUGCAGAAAAGAAACCGCAUGUAUCGAUCUCAUUUUUUGGGACUGUUUACCUGACAUCCGAUUGAAAACUAAUUGGUUUUCAAUCAGAUUUUCCAACCAAUUGAAAUAUGACAGUUGCACGUCCUUGUCCGCUGUAAAUCUGCUUGUCUUUGUCCACUGUAUAGGUGAGCGUCCCUCUCUAGCAUUACUCUCCCAGUAGACCUUCAGAAACCUGUGCAACAGAAACAGUAGACCUUCAUGUAAAAUUGGGUCAAAACACAUGUGGAUUGCCACUGUUCAUCAGUACUACUGUCAAAAAGGUUGUUGGAAAUCUAAAAUUACUGCACAAGAAUGCAGAUUACUAUAUGGGUCAUGAGCUAAAAUAGUGAAAAGGGCAGAAUCUACACAAAAAUCUGAUAAUUGCUCAAACAGCAGCACUGUACAUCCCAACUGUAAAAGAGGGUACCUACAAACAGGAGCACAUGAUCAAGCAUGUAUUACAGUACACAUAGAAUCUGAGUUUUUUAGCUGGCAAAACAUUGUUUUAACAUGCUGCAAAUCAAGAACAUAAGGACUGGAAAAUGUUCAAAUUACUAUACCCUACAGAUGAGAAUAACAGAGGAGAACACGCUGUAAACUGUGCAGCAUAACACUGUAAAAAAGGGCUAAGCAAAAUAGUAAAUCAACCUGGAAAAAUUUCAUGACCUAACAUAUAGAGACAUGAAUAAUAAAUUACUGUACCCUACAAAGGAGAAUACACUGUAAAACUGUGCAACAAUUCACUGUAAUCAACAUACAUAGACAUAAAUAAACAGAGUACUUUCACCUGAAGCUGUAAACCAUGCUGGAAACUGGCUAUUAGCCAACAUACAUAGACAUGAACAAAUAUAUUACUGUAACCUGGAAGCUAUAAUAGCACAUAUAUUCAUUGUGACCUUGCUAUCUACAAACUAUAAUUAAUAAAGUUUGGCACUGUAGAAUGUUCAACUUACUGUGACCUAUAGGGUGUGUUUGGUUGAGCCUACCUUUGCCCCACCAAAUAUUUGGCUAGCCGAAAUAGUGAUCAAGAUUUUGUGUGCCCAUGAGUUGGCCAACUUUAGCUAAAAAUGAACUAGAGUUGGUAAGGAGCCGUUGGCAUGCCAAAAUGUUGGUAACCAUCUAAACCAAGACCAAAGUUUUGGUCAUAGCCACAAAAUUGGUAAGGUACACGUUGGCUACAAACCAAACAUACCCUAUUAGUUCAAAUUACUAAAACGAUGAACUACUUCCAAACAAACAUCCAAACUGGCAUAAAACAACAGAACCAUGCACUACUAAGAAAAAUACAAGCACUGACAUCAUGUUUCCUGCUACAUGCACUACUGUUGAGCAAAAGGAUCAUUCAUCCAAGUAUAAACAAUCCUGGCUACUUUUAAUUGGCAAAUGUACAGCUUCAUGCAGGUGAAGCAAGCAUUCAGGAAGAGGAGCUAUACCUACAAGAUGAAGAAGAUGCAUUCCUUAAUGUACGGCCAAUAAUUGUCUUACUUCUCCUGAAAAAGAAAACCAAUCUCAGUUGUGAUGUAUCUAACUGUUUUUCUUUUUCUUUUUGCUACCUAGCAACUGGAUAAGGGUAUUCGACAAAAAAUAACAACAUUGUCCCAGAUUACACAGUUGCCAAAAAUAACUAACACCAACCCCCAAAAGGUAAAAAAGAAUUGAACUGGUACGGUAAGAGACUAAAAUUUGCAGUCCCAACAUUACGAUCUGAAGGGGAUAUCUCAAAAAAUAUCGACACAUUCAUAAGUACACAGCACACACACCCUCUCAGCUUAGCGACUACUCCGUACAUUACAGCGAUAUGUUACAAGCACAAAAACCUAUCCCAGUAGAACACUAAUAGAUAUGGCAACUAAUGAGGAAGAAUUUUAAUACUAAUAGAGUACAAUUGGUCAAAACUCAAAUCUGUAACUGUCUGUGUUCGCGUUCAUCCAACCAGAUCUAGAAAAAAUACACUGGGAGAUUCAAAGCGGGAGGAAGAGAUGUAGAAACCACCCACCAAAGAACGCGAGACGACGGCCGACCAAAUCUUCAAUCACGCGGCGAGGGGGAGAUCGGAAUGGAAAUCGCCAUGGAGGGGUUGCUUCUGCUUGAACAGGGCAAGGAGAAGGGAAAGGGACAAGCAGAUAGCGAGGAGAAUAAGAAAAAUUCAAAGGUGAAAAUGACAGCGGCGCGUGGAUUGACAGGUAGGCGGAAACUCGGUUGCGAGUAGGCGGAGCUUCAUGGAAGUGAUGCAAGUUCAGUGAAAACAGGCUAAAC
rnacentral:lncRNA from 1 species